UGGGGAAUUUUGGACAAUGGGGGCAACCCUGAUCCAGCCAUGCCGCGUGAGUGAAGAAGGCCUUCGGGUUGUAAAGCUCUUUCGGCCGGGAAGAAAUCGCAUAGGCUAAUACCCUGUGUGGAUGACGGUACCGGAAUAAGAAGCACCGGCUAACUACGUGCCAGCAGCCGCGGUAAUACGUAGGGUGCGAGCGUUAAUCGGAAUUACUGGGCGUAAAGCGUGCGCAGGCGGUUUCGUAAGACAGAGGUGAAAUCCCCGGGCUCAACCUGGGAACUGCCUUUGUGACUGCGAGGCUAGAGUACGGCAGAGGGGGGUGGAAUUCCACGUGUAGCAGUGAAAUGCGUAGAGAUGUGGAGGAACACCGAUGGCGAAGGCAGCCCCCUGGGCCGAUACUGACGCUCAUGCACGAAAGCGUGGGUAGCAAACA
rnacentral:rRNA from 1 species